AGAUCUCUGAAAACAGACCUACUGCUUCAAUCAAUAGUACUCCUAUCAUAUGCCAUGAUGCUUCCAUUGGCCAGAUGUGCACUAAACCAUCUCAAGAUUCAAAGCAUUCCGAAAGUUGUGGGAAGACAGAAACACUCAAAGCCCUCAUCAAAUUUUCAUGACAAAUAUGGCAAUAUGAUGCUGUUCAGUGGGUCUGCUUUCUGUCUAGGUGCAUAUAUAAUUUUUAUGACCCAGAUGGGGGUGGAGUGGAACCUGUCUCCUGUGGGCAGAGUCACCCCCAAAGAGUGGAAUGAGUAACUUUCUCAGUACACUAACAGAAUUGUCUCAAACCUAACUUGUCACGGACAUGUUCUUCUGUUCAGUGAAAUCAGCAUAGUAAAAGAAAUAAAAUUGAUUCAGAAGUCCUAACAA
rnacentral:lncRNA from 1 species